UACGAAGGGGGCUAGCGUUGCUCGGAAUCACUGGGCGUAAAGGGCGCGUAGGCGGACUCUUAAGUCGGGGGUGAAAGCCCAGGGCUCAACCCUGGAAUUGCCUUCGAUACUGAGAGUCUUGAGUUCGGAAGAGGUUGGUGGAACUGCGAGUGUAGAGGUGAAAUUCGUAGAUAUUCGCAAGAACACCAGUGGCGAAGGCGGCCAACUGGUCCGAUACUGACGCUGAGGCGCGAAAAGCGUGGGGGAGCAAACAGG
rnacentral:rRNA from 1 species